rnacentral:rRNA from 1 species
AACCUACCUUGUACAGGGGGAUAGCCCGAAGAAAUUCGGAUUAAUACCGCAUAACAAUAGAUGAUGGCAUCAUUAUUUAUUUAAAACUUCGGUGGUAUAAGAUGGUCAUGCGUGACAUUAGCUAGUUGGUAAGGUAACGGCUUACCAAGGCGACGAUGUCUAGGGGUUCUGAGAGGAAGGUCCCCCACACUGGUACUGAGACACGGACCAGACUCCUACGGGAGGCAGCAGUGAGGAAUAUUGGUCAAUGGGCGAAAGCCUGAACCAGCCAUGUCGCGUGCAGGAAGACUGCCCUAUGGGUUGUAAACUGCUUUUAUACGGGAAGAAAUGUAGUUACGUGUAACUAUUUGCCGGUACCGUAUGAAUAAGCAUCGGCUAACUCCGUGCCAGCAGCCGCGGUAAUACGGAGGAUGCGAGCGU